UACGUAGGGUGCGAGCGUUGUCCGGAUUUAUUGGGCGUAAAGAGCUCGUAGGCGCUUAGUAAGUCGGGUGUGAAAACCCCAGCUCAACCUGGGGACGCCACCCGAUACUGCUAUAGCUAGAGUCCAGUAGGGGGAGUGUGGAAUUCCCAGUGUAGCGGUGAAAUGCGCAGAUAUUGGGAGGAACACCAGCGGCGAAGGCGGCACUCUGGGCUGGUACUGGACGCUGAGGAGCGAAAGCG
rnacentral:rRNA from 1 species